GUACCGAUUUUUCUCGUACUUGAGACUUUUCAUUAUCUCUCAUCUCUUUGACUUCACCCGAUACCUUGCUCCUUGAUCUGAUGUAUGUUGCAAUCAUAAGUGGUUUGCGUUGUUUUCACAGUUCUUAAUCAGAUCGAUUGUCAGAAGUUUGGAAUACAAAGACUUGAGAUCAGAUGAGCAAGUCAGAUCUAGGCACUAUUACCGAAACAAUUAUCAUGCGUGACUCUGUGAAUUUGCCUCUAUUAUUGUUUUUGGAGUAGUUUUUUUACAAUGGAGGCUGUAUUAGUUCCUAUGUGUAUGUAGACCACGUUAUAGUAACGACUAAUGCAUUCUUUGCAGACUAUUGAGUUAGAAGCCAAGUGUCAGAAGGCACGAAGCAAUCAUUCUUGAAGAUCAUGCUUUCUCUGAGAAUCACACCAUUGAGUUUACGCUGUGGCAGUUGCAUUACAAACGGAUUGAAGAAUAUUGAUCAAACAUAAAUGCUGUCUUGGCUUCUAGUAGCUCCAGUGCGGCUCAGAAUGCAAAGGAUCCUUUUAUACCCGACCGAGUUGCGAGGCUCAAGCUGCGUACCUCUUCUUUCGAUUCCUAAAGGGCGCGUUCAGAAAUUUCCUUUCGGAAGCAGCUGGGUUUUACCCUGAUAUGAUCUUUAAAAUGAGAUCCAAGUAUGGUCUCCCCUUGGGUUACUUUUCCGACGAUCAAGAGAGUAAAAAUUUUGCCGAUAAGGAUGGGAGAAGUUGGCUCAAGUCAAAAAAGGCUUGGUGCCUUGUCACCAUUGCUUAAUAUACCUUGGUGAUCUUGCUCGGUAUAAAGAUUGUAUGGAGAGGGAGGAGAUUCAAAGAACCGAGAAUAUGCUGCUGCUUCGGGUUACUAUUUGAAAGCAGCUUCUCUAUUGCCAGCCAGUGGAAACCCACAUCAUCAGCUAGUGCAAAUUGCUUCUUAUUCGGGGGAUGAGUUUGCAGCAACAUACCGUUAUUUCCGGAGCUCUGCUUGGCUGUGGAGAGUCCUUUCCCAAAGGCCCGUGACAACUUGAUUGUUGCUUUUGAGAAGGACCUUAUAAUAGAGAUACAUCAGCAACCUAAACAAAAAGGCGAGACUUAAGUUAGAAGGGUACAAAGAUGAAAUUGUUAGAGAUUGACACUGUAUAAGUGGAAUAGAGGAAGCAGAGCUACAUAAACCCUUGAUGCUGGGGAGAAUAUAACGACAAUUUACAAUUUCGGUUUGGUUAGUUAUUAAAUUUUAAGUGGCGACAAAAUUUUUAGCUGGUUUAGUAUUAGUAAAACGACAACAUAUUAAUCCAAUGGCAUGGGAUUGUAAAUAAAAAGGAAAAGUCAGAAUUAUUUCAUUUUCGUAC